CAUGACAUCACUUCCUUCCUCACCUGUAGCAAGAGCAGCUGUGUCCAUACCAAAAACACUAUCAGUGAAACAAAUCCACUACUACCUCUCCCUACCUGAAGUGGAGAUUACGGAAUUCAGGGAGAGCAAACAACAAGAAUGUGACACUGUCCGGACGCUGGUGGAAGAGUUGAGGCUUUUCCAGGAGGAGAGCCGUGCUUUAAUAUUAACAGUUAAAACAGAAGUUAAGACAGAACACUGAACAAAUGAUGUCCUCCAAGAGGAGCUGUGUGUAGUGAAGGUGGAGCUGAAGCAGAGAGAGAGAGAGGGACAUGAUGUCCUCCAAGAGGAGCUGUGUGUAGUGAAGGUGGAGCUGAAGCAGAGAGAGAGAGAGGGACAUGAUGUCCUCCGAGAGGAGCUGUGUGUAGUGAAGGUGGAGCUGAAGCAGAGAGAGAGAGGGACAUGAUGUCCUCCAAGAGGAGCUGUGUGUAGUGAAGGUGGAGCUGAAGCAGAGAGAGAGAGGGACAUGAUGCCCUCCGCCAGCAGCUUCUGACCAACAGAGCCGCCCCAUCAGCCUGGUAGAAGCCCAGAUACCCCUGAGCCCAGUGCAGCCUUCACCCCAUCAGCCUGGUAGAAGCCCAGAUACCCCUGAGCCCAGUGCAGCCUUCACCCCCAUCAGCCUGGUAGAAGCCCAGAUACCCCUAGAUCCUGCCCUGACCUGCCAACCUCUCAGCCUGCCUUGACCUGCCAACCUCUCAGCCUGCCCUCACCUGCCAACCUCUCAGCCUGCCCUGACUUUCCAACCUCUCAGCCUGCCUUGACCUGCCAACCUCUCAGCCUGCCCUGACCUGCCAACUUCCCAGCAGUCUGACCAUGUUCAGCCGAACACACCUCCAGAGGACAGGGGACAGGAUCCAGUUCAACCCAGGAGACCUCCCAAAACUGCAGUUCUGAUAGACUGUAAUGGGAAGUAUCUGGAAGAUAAGAGACUGUUCCCCAGACACCAGACAGCUAAAUGUGGGUAUCCCACUACUGACAGUGCACUACAGCUGCUCUAUCAGGUCAAGCUGGAAAAUCCUGAUAACCUCAUCAUACAUACUGGGACAAAUGACCUGCACACAAAAGGAGAAAGAGUGGCUGAGGAAGCACACAGCCUGUUCCCAAUGACAAACAUUAGUAUAUCCACCUUUCUAGAAAGAUCUCAAAGUUUCUUAGAUUUUUACCAGACCUCAGAAGUCGUCCCCCGAUGCGGUUUAAGCAUUGUUGUGAGCACAGAAAAUCUAAUUUUGUUGUUUUUCUAUUAAAAAAAAACUGUUGAAAAAAAACUGUAAAGAAAACCAUUAAAAAUAAAUAAAAAUGAAUUAGCAGAAAAUAUAAGCAGAUUUAAAAUGGCCCUACCAAUGUUUCUUGCUGUGCAUGACUCCACAUUAGCAUGUCAUCCUGUAGCACAGUAUUUUGUUUGGACCAUCCUAGAAAUGUCAUAUUUGACAUUGGUGGUUAUGUCAGUUAUGCCACAUUUAUGAACCCUUUAUAGAGCAUUACAUACAGUUAUAGAUGACUUGUGACACAUUUAUGUGUUUUGAAGGCUUUAUGAAGCCUUUAUAAGCUGCAUGUAAUUUAAAGUGGGACCGAAAACGACAGUAACAUUUUGGAACCAUUUGAAAUUAAGCUCCAAAAUGUCCUUACAAUUCAAAGCACUGGAAACCCAAGAAAAACACUAAACAACACUACUAUCCAAACACACAGGGAAAUCAAUCAAAUUGUUACAGAAAUUAAAAUUUCUUAUUUGACAAAUUCGGAAAAUUCUACAAAAACGCAGAAUAAACUGAAUUGCUAUUUGGCCUUCGUAAGAGAAUACAAAUUGGCAGUGUCAUGACGUUGCCCUUUUUGGACACUGCGAGCACCAUCCCCCUACCUCUGCACCAUCUCCCUCUGUCUCCUACACCCAGGCUGCUGUGGUCAGAAGAGGUUGUAAAUUCCUAUGAGGAGAUCCUCUCCUCAUGGCCACAGUAUAGAGAGAGAGCGUUUUCAUAGAGAGACAAAGGAAUUUCUUCCACCUCACAGAACUGAAGAACCAAACGACAAUUUAUGUUCUGGAG
rnacentral:lncRNA from 1 species